rnacentral:rRNA from 1 species
ACGCUCGACACCUACGGGGGCAGCAGUGGGGAAUAUUGCACAAUGGGGGAAACCCUGAUGCAGCAACGCCGCGUGAAGGAAGACGGUUUUCGGAUUGUAAACUUCUGUUCUUAGCGAAGAUAGUGACGGUAGCUAAGGAGCAAGCCACGGCUAACUACGUGCCAGCAGCCGCGGUAAUCUGAGCGGGCUGGCAAGGC